CGUCGGGGUGGCGCACGGGCGCCGUGGCGCCCUCCGGCGGCGUCAGCCCUGUCGUUCGUCCACUCACAACGGC
rnacentral:tRNA from 2 species